rnacentral:rRNA from 1 species
UACGUAGGGGGCAAGCGUUGUCCGGAUUUAUUGGGCGUAAAGAGCGUGUAGGCGGUUAGGUAGGUCCGUUGUGAAAACUCGAGGCUCAACCUCGAGACGCCGAUGGAAACCAUCUGACUAGAGUCCGGAAGAGGGGAGUGGAAUUCCUGGUGUAGCGGUGAAAUGCGCAGAUAUCGGGAAGAACACCCGUGGCGAAGGCGGCUCUCUGGGACGGUACUGACGCUGAGACGCGAAAGCGUGGGGAGCGAACAGG